UUUACUUUUACUUGAGUACAUUUGUGAAGAAGAAACGGUACUUUUACUCCGCUACAUUUGCAAAAUUCAACUCGUUACUUUUUAAAAAAUAAUUAGUUUAACACAUUAGAUAACAUGCCGCCAGUGGAGUUUCCGGUAACUUUUUUACCAAUGAGAUGUGGCCAUGCAGUCACAUGACCAGUUUGAAACUGUGGCGGGCAGUGCAGCCCAAACGUUUCAAAGUAGCGGACACACAAAAGAAGAAACAUGAAAACAUAGCGGAGCCGUCUACGCUAGAGCUGAAGAGGAUGAACACCCUUGGCCUCAUAUACAAAGAACGUUUUGCUUAAAAGCAGUACAAAAGAACAGCUAUGUCUUCAGUGUCGGUGUCUUCAGUGAGAGCCAAAACAAACUAACUUUUCAGCGUGAAAAAACUCAGCUCGUGUAACCUGAGGAAACGUGCAGCUCUCUGAGCAACGUUUGGUCCACAGGAAAAUCAGAAUGAGCCUUUCAGGGAGUGAUCUGAACGCAGUAAGUGGGCCAAAAGUAAACAAGAAGACAACCUGGAAGUUGAACUCGACCAGAUUUAAGCAGCCGGAUCAGGUCAGGGACGAGACCCUGCCCCAAGUGGAGGAGUUUAAGUAUCUUGGGGUCUUGUUCACGAGUGAUGGCAGAAGGGAGCGGGAGAUCGACAGACGGAUUGGUGCAGCGGCUGCAGUGAUGCG